rnacentral:rRNA from 1 species
AACGAACGCUGGCGGCAUGCCUAACACAUGCAAGUCGAACGAGACCUUCGGGUCUAGUGGCGCACGGGUGCGUAACGCGUGGGAAUCUGCCCUUGGGUUCGGAAUAACUUCGGGAAACUGAAGCUAAUACCGGAUGAUGACGUAAGUCCAAAGAUUUAUCGCCCAAGGAUGAGCCCGCGUAGGAUUAGCUAGUUGGUGAGGUAAAGGCUCACCAAGGCGACGAUCCGUUAGCUGGUCUGAGAGGAUGAUCAGCCACACUGGGACUGAGACACGGCCCAGACUCCUACGGGAGGCAGCAGUGGGGAAUAUUGGACAAUGGGCGAAAGCCUGAUCCAGCAAUGCCGCGUGAGUGAUGAAGGCCUUAGGUUGUAAAGCUCUUUUACCCGGGAUGAUAAUGACAGUACCGGAGAAUAAGCUCCGGCUAACGUCCGUGCCAGCAGCCGCGGU